UACGUAGGGGGCAAGCGUUUGUCCGGAUUCAUUGGGCGUAAAGAGCUCGUAGGCGGCUUGGCAAGUCGGGUGUGAAACCUCCAGCUCAACCUGGAGACGCCACCCGAUACUGCCAUGGCUAGAGUCCGGUAGGGGACCACGGAAUUCCUGGUGUAGCGGUGAAAUGCGCAGAUAUCAGGAGGAACACCGGUGGCGAAGGCGGUGGUCUGGGCCGGAACUGACGCUGAGGAGCGAAAGCGUGGGGAGCGAACAGG
rnacentral:rRNA from 1 species